UACGGGGGGGGCAAGCGUUGUUCGGAAUUACUGGGCGUAAAGGGCUCGUAGGCGGCCAACUAAGUCAGACGUGAAAUCCCUCAGCUUAACUGGGGAACUGCGUCUGAUACUGGAUGGCUUGGAUUCGGGAGAGGAAUGCGGAAUUCCAGGUGUAGCGGUGAAAUGCGUAGAUAUCUGGAGGAACACCGGUGGCGAAGGCGGCAUCCUGGACCGGCAUUGACGCUGAGGAGCGAAAGCCAGGGGAGCAAACGGG
rnacentral:rRNA from 1 species